rnacentral:rRNA from 1 species
UACGGAGGGUGCGAGCGUUGUCCGGAAUCACUGGGCGUAAAGGGCGCGUAGGCGGCCUGAUAAGUAGGGGGUGAAAUCCUGCGGCUUAACCGCAGGGCUGCCUUCUAAACUGUCAGGCUAGAGCACAGUAGAGGCAGGUGGAAUUCCCGGUGUAGCGGUGGAAUGCGUAGAGAUCGGGAAGAACAUCAGUGGCGAAGGCGGCCUGCUGGGCUGUUGCUGACGCUGAGGAGCGGAAAGCGUGGGGAGCGAACAGG